CGUCCGGGGGGCUUUUGUCCUACUAUCCGUCGUCAUAUGAUCUGUACUGUGUCCGUGUGAAGCCAAACCCAAUUAAACAAACAAUCUAAGGCAAAUGAGAUUUAGCAGUUUCUUUUUCCAUGGCUGAACACUAAAAUGUCAGACGUUAUGAAAUAGAAUAACAGUAAUUAUUAUAUAAAAAUCUGGAAACAAAGUGAUCCCUCGGAAGCAUUAAUCACAACAAAAUAACAUAAGAAUUGCAAAUUCGGUUUGAUUGAGUCCGUACAUGAGGGAUAAUGAAUAAGUGCAACAUCCCUCACGUCCCCUAGCACCGGCUUGAGCGGUACUCAAUUCUCAACACUUAAUAGUGCUGGCAUCAAUGAUCCCGAAGGACCAGAAAAAUAUAACAACACUGAAGUGAAGUACGGUGCAACUUUUUACAGUUGCCACACGGCACUUGACACCUGCUGUUGUGAAGUAUUAAAAUCUGGAAACAAAGUGAUCCCUCGGAAGCAUUAGUCACAACAAAAUAAAUAAUAAUCGCAUACUCGGUUUGAUUGAGUCUGUACAUGAGGGAUAAUGAAUAAGUGCAACAUCCCUCACGCCCCAUGGCACCGGCUUGAUCGGUACUCAAUUCUCAACACUUAAUAGUGCUGGCAUCAAUGAUCCCAGAAAAAUAUAACAACACUGAAGUGAAGUACGAAGCCCAUAUAACUGUUUUUGCUCCGGACAGUCUGAUGUGAUUUUAAAUCGAAAUAUGAAUAAUGCUCCAGAUAUUGAAAGCUUGAUAUGGCCUUUCCUAAGACCCAGCUAAAGUUUUACAGUGCGUCUCGGGAAUUACACAUAAUGAACUACAAAGACUCGAAUUAAGUGAUAUUUCUUUUUUUUAAUUUUAUAUCAUCGGGUGGUUAUUUCCUUUAAAAUGUGUUAGAAAACAAUUACAAAUGAUCUUGAACUAUGUACAGUCCCACCCCGUUUAUUCGAAGUGCCUGGGACUGAAUAUUUACUUUGAAUAAUCGAUGGGUUCGAAUAAUCGAAAUCGGAAUAUUGUGAUAGACGAAAACUACUCUACUUUGACCAAUCAUCGCAAAACUACCGUUUACAACACACUUACUUCCUGUAAUCAAUUGAGAAAUAUAAAUAUUAAAGAAAAGAUGCGUAAAAAUUAUUGUAUUGACAUUGAAGACAUAAUUCUACAUUAUGUAUCGUUUCGUUUCGCGCAAAGCCUUGAUAAUGAACGUGUUGUCACUACGGUAUUUUCAGCUAAACUCUGGUAUUUUUGAUUAGGAUAAAGGCUCUCAUGUAGCGUUUCAAUUAAUGAAAAAAAUGUUUUGGAUGUUUUGACAAAUUCACAUAUACGGAAUGUAUAAAAAUUAUUGCUGUCAUCUUCAAGCAAUUACAGUAACAAAAUCGGACACGGUGCAUAGCUUUUCAUUUUCGGUAAUUAAGGUUGAUUACAGAACACACAAAGAGUUAUUUUCAUGAUUGUUUAAUUACACGCUGAUUGUGGAUAUUUUUCACAAGUCGACCGGUCAGCGAGUGGAUCUGCGCCAAUUAGUCUGGUUUCGAAUUAUAAUUAGGCUGGCUUCGAAUAAUAGGUGUGAAAUUCUAUUGAUAUUGUUUUAUAUAGAGAUAAAAACGGGACCGCCGAUCUACUUCGGAUAAUGCCGGGUAUUCGAAUAAAGGGUUGUCGAAUAACCGGGGUCGGACUGUAUCAUAAAAAAUUUACAAAAAAUAAAUUGCUUAGAAUGAAAAUCUAAGUAUGAACUGAAAACAAACGUAGUGGCACCUGUCAUACAAGCUAGAGAUAUUUCCGCGUUAACUUGUGUAUUUGCAUGUAUUUUUGACGAUUUUUACAAAGAUAAUUAAUCAUUUAUUUUUAUCCCCCCCAAAUGGGAGGCAUAUAAAAAUUGCAUCGUCUGUCUGUCUGUCCGGGCGAACAUCCAAUGGUCUAUGAGCUUCAUUCCGUCCAUAAUUUUAGUUAAACCAUAAACCGAUUGAUUUAUGUGGAAAUUUUACUGGUUUAAGGGGGAAAAUGCCACAUAAAGAUCAAAUAAAAAGCACAUAAACCCCAAAUGUUGGCACAUCCGUCCGUCCGUCUGUCCGUCCCCACUUCAUCCGUGUCCGGACUUUGUCAACAUUGAGGUAUUUUGAUAACUUAGCACGGAUGUCUACCACAUCAAUACGAUGUGUCGCGUCCAAGAAUCACGUCCCUACCUCAAAGGUCAAGGUCGGACUAUCAUUUUGAAGUUUCACAUUAUCGCAAUUAUAGUAAAUAGGUACACACAUUCGUGUCCGGACUGAAACUUUGUCAUGUAUCAAAUGAUUUUGAAAUAACUAGGCAUAAAUAUCUACCACAUCAAGACGAUGUGUCGCGUCCAAAAAUAAUGUCCCUACCUCAAAGGUCAAGGUCACACUGACAUUUUGAAGUUUCACAUUAUCACAAUUAGAAUAAUUAGGUACACACAAUCGUGUCCGGGCUGUAACUUGCCAUGCAUCAAAGGAUUUUAAAUUAACUAGGCAUACAUCUUUAUUACAUCUAGACGAUAUGUCGCGACUAAGACCCAUGUCUCUCGAGAAGAGUUUGAAGAUACACAUUCAUGUCCGGACUGUAACUUUGUCAUGCAUUAACGGAUUUUGAAAUAACUUAUCACAAAUGUCUAUCUCAUAACAACAUUUUGUCGCGUCCAAAAACCACGUCCCUUCUUCAAAGGUCAAGGUCACACUUAUAUUUUGAAGGUUCGCGCUAUUACAAUUAGAGAUUUCAGGUACAAUAAUACAAAGAACAAUAUUAAGCAUUAGUUACUUUCAUUCUUUUGUCUUUUCAUAAUACCUGCAUUCUCGGGGCAUUCGUCACUGGUUGAUAGCUCUUGUUUCCAAUACUUGUUUUUAUUCAUUUUAAACACAUACUUCUCGCUAUUACACGCCAUUCAGAGCUUACGUCUGGAAUGUACAGAGAGUACAAUUACUUCAUAUCAUAAGGUUAAAAAUAACAAAAUAUGUGUUUAUAGAAAAUGCAAUUUUUUUCUAUAAAUACGGGAUUUAUUUUUAUCUUUUGGUAUGAAAAUUAUCAUUUUUCACUAGUGGCCAUCGAUUUAUUUUGAUAUAAUUCGAUGAAAAUAUACGUAGUUUUAGAAAAAAAGAAACUUGAACAUCCACUAUUUUUAACGGAAAUGAUGUCAGGUCAAAGUGUAUUACACUACUUAAUUUAUUACUUUUGAGUUCUGCGAAAAAUUGUCUUUAAGAAAAAAAAAUUGGUCUGAGCGGUGUAAAUCGGCCAUUUAACACCGGUUUGGAAUUUUAAUGAGUUGUACGCUGUUUUCAAGGCUUAUAGGGGGGGGGGGGCUGACCAAGUUACUAUCAAAGCAUUACACUCAAGUAAGUCUGUAAUUACGUACCUGAAAGAAAGGCAAUUCACAAUUACCAUAUCCAUGUAUAUCUCACAGCAAACACUUAAUAAUGCAUGUACAAAUUCUAAUUUUCUUUCACAUAGGCCUGUGUUUUCCAUUCAUUGUUUUUGUAGCGACAAUUGAUAAAAAAAUAGCGAAUUAUACCUUAUUGAAUAAUAUGAAAAAUAUAUCAACUUUAAACAUAAGUAUCAAAUGCUUCAUUAUUUCUUCCUUAUAAAACAAUGUACAAUCUGAAAAUAAAAUCCAGACGGGGAAUUAUGCACCAUCAUUUUUCACUAUUUUAAAUCUUUUGCAUACCAAGAAGUUCAAAUAUGCGCUUAUUUAACAAAUGUCUCUUAUAUGCAUAUUUGAAAGGACCGUACCAAAACUAAGACCUGGCGCCUCAGUGGUUUCUUUGUUUGCAUCAAAACCACUUACUGGUGUUAAAUGCCCGAUGCACACGGCGCAGACCAAUAUCAAAUCGAUUAUAACAUGAAUGGUGACCACUAACGCUGUUUUUCGUCAAACGGGUAUUUCUCCCGCCGCUGCAUAAAUUGUAUACAACUGUUAAUUCGCAUUGUUCGGGAUAGAUAUUAAAAGAAAACAUUUUUUCGCCUUAUUAUUUAAGAAUUUUAAAUCGAUAUCUUUCCAAUUUAAACUAACUUGUCAGACUGGAUUGUAUUGUGUUUAUGUAACAAGGACACAAUCUGUCAUUCUUUAUUAUUUGUCAUUAAGAGAGUUGUUUCCCUUGGACCAGUGUUUUUCUAUGGGUCCCGCCAGUUUUGAUCAUGCGACUAUUGUGUAGACAUUUACAUUGUCCUCAUGUUUUUUUUAAAUUUUGUGAUUUAUGGAAUAUCAUUAUUAUUUAUAAGGUAUGUAAAGUUUAAACUGCUUUUGAUGAUUUCCAGAGCAUAAAGUAUUGUUUAUCUUAAUGUUGUUUUUAAAGUGAAUUUAAUAAGAAUCAGUAAUGUAAAUGGUGUCUGUGUGUUAUUUUGGACUCUAAGGAUUGGUUUAAUAUUGCAGUAUGAUAUCUUUCUUUUCUCAACUAAUUAGUAAAUAAAUAAUCUCACAUUCUUUUCAAACUCUUUGCUAAUUAUUCACUAUAAUUUGCAGGGUAAUAACAGCACACUGGAGGGAGAAGAUUGUAUAUUGUAUUUGUUGUGUUGAAGUAAACAAUUAGUUCCCUAAACUGAGUGUGAUUAAGAGGUUACUGAUUACUGGUAUACUGAAUUAGAUGAUUGAUUGUAUUGAACUUCAAGUCUUGUCUAAGAUACAUGCUGUGCCAACGAAAAUAAUAGAGAUACAGAACCUACAAAAUCCUUGACUUUUAUUAACCCUUUUAAUACGGAUAAAUUUCAAAGGAGUUACAUUUAUAUCGGUGCUCGAAUAAUCUUUCAUGUUUCUCUCCCACCUAUGUCAGUUUAAAAAGACUAACGCCAUUAUGAAAUAAAAAAAUCUUCGAAUGUCGACAUUAAGUCGUAAUUUUUAUUGAUAUAAAUUGUGUUAGUGUAAAUCUGUAGCGUUAGUGUUUGAGAUAUGUUCAUUGAAUAUAAUAUGAAAAGAAAAUAUAUCAAGCGUUAUUUGUGUUGCCUUAACAGUUUUUGUUUAUCUCUGUUAUCUGAGAGUGAACGUGUAUAAAAAAGACGAAAAAAGAAAAGGCGCAUAAAUAUAGUCCCUAACAAGUGUUUCUUGACAGUUAAUCACCGGCUUUUUUCAUGUUUUAGAUGCUGAAUCACGGGGCAUGUGAGAAUUGAUAAUUUCACAGUGAAAAUCAUCAAAAUAUAAUUCAAACACAAUGAAGAUGCUUAUUUUUAAAGAUCCUGUAUGUUUUAUGAUUGAUAUUGUUACUGUAUGUGUAUGCAUGUAGUUAAUGCUUAAUGAGGGUUCAUCCGCCCUUUCGGGCACAAAAUGCAGCUUUCGCUGUCGAGUACGGACCCUGGACAUGUCACCAGUCAUGCCCUUAAAGAGUUAAUGUGGUGAUAAUUUACCUCCAUCUUAUUUCCACGGAGUAUUAGCCAAAGAUAUGAAUUUUGAGCCUGUGUGUAUAUCACACUUGCAAAAAAUUAUAUAUGUAUAUAAUUGUGCAAAUAAAACAAUUUUCAAACAUCGAAGAAUAUGUAAAAUGUUUACUGCAAAUUACAUGCAUUCAUUUCUUAUUGGAAAAUUUGACUUAGAAUUUAGAAAAUAAAUUUCUUAUUAACUCCCUUAUUUACAUUAAAUGUUAAAUUGGGUAAUAUAUAAUUAUAAAUAAUGCUUAUUGGAACUUACAAUAUUGAUAAAUCUUAAUUUGAGCAAUAAAACAAUGAAAAGAU